rnacentral:sRNA from 1 species
GAAAAAUUUCGCAAACCUUAUCGUAGUGGGACGGCGCAUGGGCAGGAUGGUGUAACCAUCCGGCGGUAGCCACCCAUGCGCUAAACGAGGCUCCUCCAGGGGGCCUUUUUUUAUGCCCGCAA